GAGUUUGAUCAUGGCUCAGAUUGAACGCUGGCGGCAUGCCUUACACAUGCAAGUCGAACGCGAAAGUGGGGGCAACCCUGCGAGUAGAGUGGCGAACGGGUGAGUAACACAUCGGAACGUACCCAGGAGUGGGGGACAACCUCGAGAAAUCGAGGCUAAUACCGCAUACGUCCUGAGGGAGAAAGCGGGGGAUUCGCAAGGACCUCGCGCUCAUGGAGCGGCCGAUGUCGGAUUAGCUAGUUGGCGGGGUAAAAGCCCACCAAGGCUACGAUCCGUAGCUGGUUUGAGAGAACGACCAGCCACACUGGGACUGAGACACGGCCCAGACUCCUACGGGAGGCAGCAGUGGGGAAUUUUGGACAAUGGGGGCAACCCUGAUCCAGCCAUGCCGCGUGAGUGAAGAAGGCCUUCGGGUUGUAAAGCUCUUUCGGCCGGAACGAAAUCGCGUACGCGAAUAACGUGCGUGGAUGACGGUACUGGAAGAAGAAGCACCGGCUAACUACGUGCCAGCAGCCGCGGUAAUACGUAGGGUGCGAGCGUUAAUCGGAAUUACUGGGCGUAAAGCGUGCGCAGGCGGUUCUGCAAGUCAGAUGUGAAAUCCCCGGG
rnacentral:rRNA from 1 species